rnacentral:rRNA from 1 species
GACGAACCGUGCAAACGUUGUUCGGAUUCACUGGGCUUAAAGGGCGCGUAGGCGGGCCAUCAAGUCAGGGGUGAAAUCUUUCGGCUCAACCGGAAAAGUGCCUUUGAUACUGGUAGGCUCGAGGGAGGUAGGGGUUCGCGGAACUUCUGGUGGAGCGGUGAAAUGCGUUGAUAUCAGAAGGAACGCCGGUGGCGAAAGCGGCGAACUGGAUCUCUUCUGACGCUGAGGCGCGAAAGCUGAGGGGAGCAAACGGGG